ACAAUCCCCUCAAAAUAGUUAAACAGGGGAAGUUCUGAUGGAACAAGCCUUGGUAAGAAGUGUCCUGAUGGGCUGAACGCACCUCCCAGCAAAGCUGCUCAGAAGGGGAGUGAACCAUAGCUUCAAGGAGAGGACCCUUGGUCAAAGUCAGCUGAAUUCCCCAAGGACAACCCAGACAAGGAGUUAGAAGCCAAGGGAACUGGACUUGAUGGUAUAAAAGGCCCCCUGUGGCUCUCUGUUGUGUGCCAAGGAAGUAUGUGACAUGGAGGAAGGAUCUAUAAAUUAGAUUCCCUGAAUUUCCCACAACGUGCUGCUAGUCCCUAUUUAUUGUACCAGUACAAGUCCUGGAUAUCUCUUCGGAAUGCAAACCAGUUUGGAAGGAAAAUACUGUAAUAAUUUGCACUUCAUUCGUUCUCAUCCUCCUCUGCUUUUUGUAUCAGACACCUUUUUAAUUAGAAUUCUGUGAUAAUGAAAUUUUGCUUGGGGAAAAUUGAUUUUGCUAUUAAAAAGUUACUCUAAAGUAACUAGGAUUUGAAACAGUAAUAGGUGUGAAAGACCAAAGCAGAAAAUAAAAUGUAUUUGAACAUAAUCAUAUUAUGGUUUUCCAUUAGACCUUAAAUUAUGUGUUGAAUACAGCAGCUUUGAAAGAAGUACUUCCCAAUCCUCACCCUGAAAAGGACCGGUGUCUCGGAGCAUGGUGUUUAAUGAACUACCUUAACGAUUCCAUUCCACAAGCUGAAGAAAUAUAAGAAGAAGAAAUCCUUGCAGUUUGGUGGACGGAUGAGUCCUUAGCUCUUCUGCUCCCACCCUGCAAUGGAAGGCGCAGCUCAGCCAGCAUCUUAAUCCAGAACAGCAGUAGGCUUCCAAAGCACGUGCCCUGAUUGUCCCAGAGUGCAUAACCUGGGCUCCUUUCAGAAGAAACUGAACAGGAAAAUGGGCUCAGUGCACUCUCACAAUGUGUUAACCUUUCUCAGGCUGGCAACAAUCAGCUAAGAGAGGGUUGCAGGGUUCUUACACACCAGGUGUCCAUAAUCAGGCAGUUUCCUGCUACCCACUGCCUCCCUCUGAAGGACAGUCAACUGAAUCCUCCGCCGCACACCCUAAAUACAACCACCAUGAAAAGAAAACCCUCUGUAACUCUGGUCGCAAUAAAUACAGUCACAUAUUUCAGCUCCCCCCAUGUCAGCCUGGUCAUUUUGAUUUAGUCUUUCUGAGGUUUAUUCGUCUAUCCCACACACAAGCCCAUACAUUGGUUCUGGAAAUCGAUGCUUUAAACUGGAAAGAUGUCAUUUAUCUAGACAGCAUUGCAGCAUAUUCCUUGUAAAGAUUCCAAUAGAUUUGUAAGCUCCAGAGUUUAUUGGUAUAGAUGGCCACAUAACUGAAGUAUUAUCUUAGCAGAAACUGCUUCAGGUACAUAGAUGGAUUUCUGCGCAAUGAAAUUGUAUGAUCAAUCAUAGGAUUCAGCUGCAGAAAGCAAAGCCGUGUUGAUGUAUCUCUGCCAUUAGAAAGACAUUUUAAACAGUUGCUUUCUAUCUUGACUGUCACGAAUCUGGAAAUCAUGAUGCAAGCGCUUUCCUAGUCCAGCCAGAUGAGGGCUGAUAAGGUCUUACUCUGAUGAGGACAC